rnacentral:rRNA from 1 species
UACAGAGGGGGCAAGCGUUGUUCGGAAUUACUGGGCGUAAAGGGCGCGUAGGCGGCCUGCUAAGUCGAACGUGAAAUCCCCGGGCUCAACCCGGGAACUGCGUCCGAUACUGGUUGGCUCGAAUCCGGGAGAGGGAUGCGGAAUUCCGGGUGUAGCGGUGAAAUGCGUAGAUAUCUGGAGGAACACCGGUGGCGAAGGCGGCAUCCUGGACCGGCAUUGACGCUGAGGCGCGAAAGCCAGGGGAGCAAACGGG